GGGCACAAGAUGGACACAGGAUGUUCCCCAAUCAAGGCUGCUCGGUGGGUUUCAGAAAUGGGAACACCCGUCCCUUCAAGCAUCCAUAGCGUGUGAACUGUAGGACUGUAGGGUGAAGGUCAUCCCAGAGCUCAGCAUUGAAACCAGCCGGAAAUUGUUCAGUUGGGGGAACUAGGGGAAAGGGAACAGUGAUGUGAAGGGCAGAGGCAGUGGUGGGAAGCCUGUGUGUGGCCGACGCAUGCUUUUACGCUGUCAUCACGGCCUUGCUUUCUAUAGCAGGGAUCUGAGAAGCAGGCAGGCAGCUGCUCUGCCUGAGACUGUCAGGAGUUGGUGGAUAUGAAUCCAUGUCUGAAGCCCAAGCUCUCGCUACUCUGCUGUCUCCCUGAGGGGUGCAUGAAGGCCCCAGCCCAGUCAGUGACACAGAGGUUGGGAAGACCAGGGCAUGAAGCUUCUGUGCUUGGAGAACAGGAGGGCUUGUGGAGCUGUGGUUGAUGGCAUGUCCAGGAAGCCUGGCCAGGCUGGGGUCUGGCAACAGCCUCACCACGAUGGCAUGGCGGUGGGCCCGGCCUCUACCCGCUGCGCCACAGCUCCUGGCUCCUGGCUCCAGGUCAUCUCUGCCCACAGCCAGCGUCUCUGAGCAGCCUUGAUUGGGAGGCGUCCUGUGCCCAUCUCGUGCCCCCCGUCCUUCUCCUGCGUCCGGGUUCUGGUUCUGCCGCCUCCUCCGCACGCUGCUCACCAGCCUGCUAAGUGGAUGUGAAUAAACAAUCAUGCAGGGUUUGGUGCAUUCUUUCCUGGAACAAGGAGGACUUGUGGUCAAAUUUAGGACAUUCAAUCCUUGUCUUGAAUUCCUGACAAAAAUCCUCCCAGGGUGACAGCUA
rnacentral:lncRNA from 1 species